rnacentral:rRNA from 1 species
UACGUAGGGUGCAAGCGUUGUCCGGAAUUAUUGGGCGUAAAGAGCUCGUAGGCGGUCUGUCGCGUCUGCUGUGAAAACUCAGGGCUUAACCCUGAGCUUGCAGUGGGUACGGGCAGACUAGAGUGCGGUAGGGGAGACUGGAAUUCCUGGUGUAGCGGUGAAAUGCGCAGAUAGUCAGGGAGGGAACACCGGUGGGCCGAAAGGCGGGUCUCUGGGCCGUAACUGAACGC